GCCGGGGGAACUUCCAUUUGCCACAGACGUGGCCAUAAAAAAGAAAAAAAAAAAGAAAAAAAAGAAGAAUAGUAUAGAUCUCCUGGUGCUUGCCAGGAUUAAAUGCAUGAAGAUAUGUUGUUUACUUACUUAUUGUCUCUGGUCUCCAAGGCCACCCUUCUACAUACUGUUAUGUGGGGCUGGAUGUUUUCUCACAAUUUUCCAGACUCCUCUGCCAGAUGGCUCUGGUUAGAUCCAGCCAGGGAGAGACCCUGGCAGGAGCCUAGGAGUAGGCGGGAAGGGAGAGAAGGACUUCGCUCUGGUUUCAGUUCCUGCCCACAAUAUGACAGCCGCCAAGGAUGGAAGCACCAACAGCCUCCGGCUCCGUUCAGCUCCCCUGGCCCUGGUCACAGCUUGCUUCGCAGGAGUGCCACCUUCACUGGCUGUGUCCCCUCCGGGUGAUCCCAGCACCAGCUGCCCCACGUCCUCUGAGAGGAUGAUGGCUGCACUCCUGUUAGAAAAUCUAUUGAACCCUCUUCCUGCUUCCCAACUGAGCCCUGAUACAACAUCUGAAGCACUUAGAACAAUAUCCGGCACAUUGUGAGCACGAGGUGAGUGUGAAGUUUUGUAUUUGUCUAAAUAGAUGAAAAAAAGCCAACACUGCCCAUUCGAAUUCUGUGACGGGCACAAGGUGCCUGACGUUCAUCAAGGAUAAUGCAAACUCCACAGUAUAGGAAGAGGCCAGUCUCCUGGGGAAACUGCAAUUCACACCCACAAGUGUCGCUCAAGCACCACCCGCCUCCCCAAGUGUGAUUUAAAGCAAAAGAGGACACAGCUUCCAUAGCAUUAGCAAUUUUUUAUUUUUCCUUUUUUGUUGCAUAGGAAAUGCAGUACUUGCUUCCAGUAAUUGUAUUGUAAUGUGAGAAGGUGGUAGCACUAAUGGUUGAAUACAAGAGUUAAACUAAUCCACACCAGCUCAAAAAACCUGUGGAGAUUUAGUUGAAUAAGAAUGGACGCCCACAGUGAUUCUCAACCAAUUACAAAUUUUCACAGAACACAGUCAAACUAAAAGGGUAACUAUGAGAGUCAAUACAAGUAUCCUAGAGGCACAGGGGGCCCGGCUCAUAAAAAACAAAGGUCAAACCAACUUAUUAACACGGGGGGUGUUUCGUUUCACAACAGAUCUCUUGUCACUGGGAGUGUUUAAUCCCCUUCCCCCCCAAUUUGAAAUGCAAAAACAAUGGAGGUAUCUUGAGUAGAUGGAUUUCCAAGGGUGGUGGGAAAAGUCCCCGGGGAACUUGGUUCUUAGAGAUCAGGGCUGCAGGGGAGGAGGAUCAUGCAUGGGCCUUUGAAAGCCUUCCGAAGGGCCUCCUGGCAUCUGAUAAAGCUCCAGCUCUAGGUCUAGCUAGGACCUCCCGGGCGAUGCUAUCAAAUGCCUUUGUCGUGCAGAAAGGCAGCUGGAGACCAGGGAGAAGGGACUGCUCUCUCAAUCUCCAUCCCAAAGUAGCCAGUGGCCAGGUAGCCUUCGAUUGAGAUGUAUUUUUUUUUUAAAGUGCUAAAUUAUAGACUAUGACUAAAAAAUAUUUUUAAAUAAGAAUAACAAAAUAAAUUCAAAGGGGGUAAAAAAGUUUGUGUCAGUCUGAGAAGCUGAGCACAAAAACAGCAGGAAAAAGAGCCCAAUUUGUCCUUGAAACCACCGUGAAAAGUCACAAAUCCACCCUGCACGCCUGGGGAGUAUUUUCUACCAUGAAGGUGCCCUGGUUGGAUUAGAGUUGGCGCUUCCAUCACAUACUUUUGUGGUCCAGACACACUUUGGAAAUUGUGUGUGUGUGUGUGUUUAAAUUAAAUAGCAUCAGGAGUCCACGUGUGGAAACUCGUGACGCCCGCACACAGGCGAGGUCCUGCCCCCUCAUGCUGCUGCCUCCCCCGUUAUCUAGGCUCUAGCGCAGAUGGUCCCCCCUUAUUUUCUGAGCAUUUCUGGUAUCUGCUCCCCACUUCCCCAUCCCCCUCAUUUGAUUAUAUAACCCUGUGGGGCAUAAAAGGCAGAUGGGUGCUGGCUUAGGGAAAACAAAACAAAACAAAAAAAUGAGAUGAAACAUUUAAUUUGGGAAGCAGUAGUUUCAAAUUUAGACCCCCAAAAAGUUAACACUUAAAAAAAUCCCGUGUUAAUAGCCAAUUUCUUUUUCUUAUGAAUCGGGCCCAAAGUUUGUACAGAGUUUUAUUUUUGAAGAAAAUAUUGCAACUGUGCAUGAAACUAAAUAGCCACGUGAUUUCGUAAAGAAUUUUUUUUUUUUCGUUUUUUUUUUCCUUUUAAUAUGAGGAAGUCUGGUGUGAAGACGGAUCAAGCAUGGGUACCUGGCUGAACACUGUCCAUUAAGAAACCCCCUCAGGAUCAGCAAAGCUUCCGUUGAGGGUGAAGGAAAAUGUCCCUCAUCUGGAAAGGUUCUCGGUGUCUUCAGAGCAGUUCUUGAAAUUCCAAUGGUCGAUUUGAGACACAAGUCUUGCCAGGGACUGAUUUCUGAAACCCAACACCCAUGCUUGUCCCCUAGGAAAAAGAAAACAAAAAACAAAAAAACAAAAAACACAAGUAAUACUGAAUUUAAGUAAAUGUAUACCUCCAAAAUACUGAAAACAGCUGAAAUCAAGAAAAGACAGAAUUUGCGUUCUCAGUGAAAUACCUUUAAACCUAGCUGACAAGAACCAAGUCAGAAAAAAAGACUAACAUAAUUCUGAGUAAUAUUCAUACAGUUCACUAAGCAUUAUGGAAUAGCAUGCAUUAAUAUUGUACGGUUAUCUUACAUCACUUAUACCAGAAGGUCCUGACUGACAGACAGCGAAGGCUACCGGUGUAGAAAAAUCUUACUUCAGAAGAGCAAUAUAAUACAGAUUUCACAGGCACUACAUUUUAAUAUAUCAGGUAUUAUGCUGGUUUUCUUAUAAUUCUUUCUGUCCUAAAGCUGGCAUUAUAACAAUGACCAAAAAGGCAAGGAUUGAAGUAAACGGAGAGUAGAUACCAAAGUUGAUAUAGUUUUGUCUUCAGAUAGAUUAGUGCAUAGUUCUCAUGCAUUUACACUGUUGGAAAGCAGAGUGAAUUGAGCCCAAGUUGUCACAUUUGUGUAAAUCAUUUUGUCAGCCUGUAAUAGCACCAUGUAAUGGAUUUGCAUUAAACAUUAAAUUGAUUUCAGAAUUGGUGACACAGUAUUCACUACAGUUAAGUGCUAUGGAAUAGCUUCAAUGUUACCUGCUAUAUAUCAAAGCAAUUUUCAUCCCACUGCUUUUUUAUUGGAAAAAAUAAAAGGAAAACAUACACGACACUAAUUAGACGAAUGCACAGCCUUGGACGUGGAGAAGGCAGAGCGGGUUUACUGUCAAACAGUAAAUACAUGCAUUGACUUCAGGACGAAAUUGGCCUUGGAAGCUGAUUUGAAUGAAAGCUGUGCCGGGGGGUGGGCAGUGCAGCUUUCUGAGACUGUCUUAUGUCUUAGGACAGAUCUCGGAGGGGGGUGGUGAGGUGCCACUGAAGCUCUCCUUACAUUUCCAUGCCAGUUGUGUGUUUUAAAUUUGUUCUAUGGAGGCCUGCUACCAGGAAAAGAAGAAAAAAAGAAAGAAAGAGAGAGAGAAAGAGAAUGAGAGAAAGAGAGAGAGUGCGAGACCACCACCACGAUGGACAAAAAGGUAUUUCCAGAGACAUGAUGCAAAGGACAAAAAGUGACAUUCUCAGAAACCCGUCCCUCCAAAAAAAAAAAAAUCCAAGGAAAAGAUAUUUUUUUCUUAAUCCAGGUUUCAUAACUGUAACACUGUAACUACAGAGUUCAAAGCCUAUGAGAAUACGGGUUUGAAAAGUGAAAGACACACUUUUUGAAAUGGGCUUUGCAUCUGCCAGAGGGCCGCCUGAAUACCGUGACUCUGGAAAGUUUGCCUUCCUUUCUAUUUCAAUGGUCAGCGUGUGACAAACACAAGUCUCGGGAAGGGUCCCUUGGCUUGCCCCGUAGCCCACGCCUGACUGCGGGGUGGAGCUGACACUGAGUAACUGUCAUGCCAGGAUAUAAAGAAACAGAAAAGUGAGUCCAAACCCCCAAGGAAAGGAAAAGGAGCUGGGAUGGAUAGAGUGGCAUUGAGGAGAGGGCUUCUGCCCAUGAAUGAUCAGACAAGGAGCGUUUCAGUGGUGGGGCGAUGAGCCAGAAAAGAAAACGUAUACAGAAAAAUGAUAUGAUUUAGUGUUUGUGCCUCUGAUGUCUGUCCCCAAGGUGGGGGGUGUGGGGGGAGGAGAAAUGGAGAGUUAUUUGAGGGACUCAUCUUUGCCAGUAUUGUUAAUGCCAUUUGAUGGGAGAGAAAAAAUUCAAAUGUGUCUCAGAAUCAAGGGCUGGGCCUUCAGACACGGAUGGCCCUCAGUCUGUCAGUCUGUACACCCAGGUAGCAAAGUCUUCCUCAAACAUCUUCACUUGACUUUGAGUCUAAAAAAGUUAAACACUUGUAUUGUUGGUGUUUCUUUUUUCCUGCUUGAUCACAACUGAACUACAGUUUCCUGCUGCUUUCUGGACAAUGAAACAUGAACAAAAAUAUAACUUAGUGUGUUUAAUACUUAACCCCUGUUCGUUAUCACCCUAGACUGCCUCCCUAAUGUUUUAAAGCCUUUAAAACAUUUUUUUUUCCUGCAAAUCUGUUCAGAGUUCCCUAAUUUUAGCUUCAUCAAACUUAAUACAACAAAAUACCUUCAAAAAUACAGCAUACCUGUAACGUCCAUUUACAAUGGUUUUCAGUAGACCUAUACUUCUCAAGCAUAGGAAUAUGCUAUACCAUUGAGAGAAAAAAAAUAACUGUAUUUAAAUACUUACAAAAAAAAAAAAAAAAAAAAAAGGAAACAGGAAAGUUUUCAACUUAAAUCCAGUUCCCAAAGGGAGGGGGGGCAGGAAAGAAAGAAAAGCCAUUCUAUGAACGCUGCCUUUAUAAUGAACAAUCAGAAAUUUCACUAGGCUAAUUUGACAGAAAUUUUUUCCUCAUUUAAACAACAUUACAAAAGUCCUGCAUUAUAAAAUAGGGUAGAAUAAAUCAGUGUAAUCAAUAAAACUAUACAACAAUACAAAUUACAUAUCUUCUGAGUGGGCAGUUAAUCUCUCUCUUUGCAGUCAUGACUACAACAUGCUCACUAAAAACAACUAAAACUGCCCAAACUAUUGCUUAGUUUGUUUUGUUUUAAAAAAAAGGGUGCAAUUUUAUUGUAUAUACAACCAAUUUACUGGUAAUACCUUAGCUUAUCGCAAGGUUCUGACAAAAUGUUUGUCUAGGCUUUUUUCCCUUCACUGUGAAGCACUGAAAGCUGCUAUUUUUUUUUCUUUUUUUUUUUUCUUUUUUCUUUUUUUAGUGCACAUAUGUCAUAAUAAAGUAAUGCCCAGCUAAGUGCUAUAGGGGAAGGCAAAGUAUGCUGGCUGGCUAGAGGAAGUGACACCAUAUACUGACAAUCACACCAUACAACAGCGCCAAACGACUAUUCAACCACUUAUCAGACACAUAUGAAAAUCCAAAAUGUUUUAUUUUAUUUUUUUUUCCUUAAAUAGAGAUAACCAGUAAACAAUUUCAGAACUUGGAAGUUUAAAAACGUGCAUAUAAAAAUGGGCAUUAUAUACUUUGUAUUGAAUGUGGAUUGACUGCAGUCUGCUAAGAAAAAUGGGGUGUGGGAGCUGAAGAAAAGGGAAGUUGUCUUUUUUUUUUUUUUUUUAAGGCUUGCUUGUGAAAGGAACAGUUGUAAAAACAAAAUUGCUUGAAGCAGGGUCAGCUUAGUGCUUCACAGUUUGACUGCUUCUCUAAGAGGAGCCCUUCCUGCGCACGUGCAUUCAAAAAUCACAAAAAAAA